rnacentral:sRNA from 1 species
UCGGACGUAUCGAUGGUCCGAGAGCGUCUC